UACGUAGGGUGCAAGCGUUAUCCGGAAUUAUUGGGCGUAAAGAGCUCGUAGGCGGUUUGUCGCGUCUGCUGUGAAAACUGGAGGCUCAACCUCCAGCCUGCAGUGGGUACGGGCAGACUAGAGUGCGGUAGGGGAGAUUGGAAUUCCUGGUGUAGCGGUGGAACGCGCAGAUAUCAGGAGGAACACCGAUGGCGAAGGCAGAUCUCUGGGCCGUAACUGACGCUGAGGAGCGAAAGCAUGGGGAGCGAACAGG
rnacentral:rRNA from 1 species